UACAUGCAAGUCGAACGAACUCUGGUAUUGAUUGGUGCUUGCAUCAUGAUUUACAUUUGAGUGAGUGGCGAACUGGUGAGUAACACGUGGGAAACCUGCCCAGAAGCGGGGGAUAACACCUGGAAACAGAUGCUAAUACCGCAUAACAACUUGGACCGCAUGGUCCGAGUUUGAAAGAUGGCUUCGGCUAUCACUUUUGGAUGGUCCCGCGGCGUAUUAGCUAGAUGGUGGGGUAACGGCUCACCAUGGCAAUGAUACGUAGCCGACCUGAGAGGGUAAUCGGCCACAUUGGGACUGAGACACGGCCCAAACUCCUACGGGAGGCAGCAGUAGGGAAUCUUCCACAAUGGACGAAAGUCUGAUGGAGCAACGCCGCGUGAGUGAAGAAGGGUUUCGGCUCGUAAAACUCUGUUGUUAAAGAAGAACAUAUCUGAGAGUAACUGUUCAGGUAUUGACGGUAUUUAACCAGAAAGCCACGGCUAACUACGUGCCAGCAGCCGCGGUAAUACGUAGGUGGCAAGCGUUGUCCGGAUUUAUUGGGCGUAAAGCGAGCGCAGGCGGUUUUUUAAGUCUGAUGUGAAAGCCUUCGGCUCAACCGAAGAAGUGCAUCGGAAACUGGGAAACUUGAGUGCAGAAGAGGACAGUGGAACUCCAUGUGUAGCGGUGAAAUGCGUAGAUAUAUGGAAGAACACCAGUGGCGAAGGCGGCUGUCUGGUCUGUAACUGACGCUGAGGCUCGAAAGUAUGGGUAGCAAACAGGAUUAGAUACCCUGGUAGUCCAUACCGUAAACGAUGAAUGCUAAGUGUUGGAGGGUUUCCGCCCUUCAGUGCUGCAGCUAACGCAUUAAGCAUUCCGCCUGGGGAGUACGGCCGCAAGGCUGAAACUCAAAGGAAUUGACGGGGGCCCGCACAAGCGGUGGAGCAUGUGGUUUAAUUCGAAGCUACGCGAAGAACCUUACCAGGUCUUGACAUACUAUGCAAAUCUAAGAGAUUAGACGUUCCCUUCGGGGACAUGGAUACAGGUGGUGCAUGGUUGUCGUCAGCUCGUGUCGUGAGAUGUUGGGUUAAGUCCCGCAACGAGCGCAACCCUUAUUAUCAGUUGCCAGCAUUAAGUUGGGCACUCUGGUGAGACUGCCGGUGACAAACCGGAGGAAGGUGGGGAUGACGUCAAAUCAUCAUGCCCCUUAUGACCUGGGCUACACACGUGCUACAAUGGAUGGUACAACGAGUUGCGAACUCGCGAGAGUAAGCUAAUCUCUUAAAGCCAUUCUCAGUUCGGAUUGUAGGCUGCAACUCGCCUACAUGAAGUCGGAAUCGCUAGUAAUCGCGGAUCAGCAUGCCGCGGUGAAUACGUUCCCGGGCCUUGUACACACCGCCCGUCACACCAUGAGAGUUUGUAACACCCAAAGUCGGUGGGGUAACC
rnacentral:rRNA from 2 species